GCUGAGGAUGAUGUAGAGGAGGUAUGAAAAAUAGAAGGUUUCAAUUUUGUAGAAUAUUAGGCAAUUCAUAAUAAUAGUUGGCUUCGUUAUUGUACACUUUGAAUGGAGAGCAUAACUUGAAUGACCACCUGUGAACUCUGGGCUUUCAAGGGUUCUGGGAGCUGCCUCAAUUUCCUGGGAGCCUCAGUGAAGACGACAUUAGGGUAGACAGUGAAAAUCCUGUGGCUAUGAUGUGAGGAUGUGAACAAAGAAGGGGAACAAAUACUCAUCCCAACCUCAGAAGUCAUUCAUUCAACACAUAUUUACUGACUUCCUUCCAGAUUGGGCUAGAAAGGCAAGGAACUCAUUAUGGGUUAGGAAGAAACUAGAUGAUCCAACUCUUAUCAUAGUCAUGAAUUGUUUUUAAUGUGACACUGCACAGUGUUCCUCAAAAGUAGAAAUAAUUGUUCUCGAGUUUCAGAAUUGGUGAAGUAUGAGAGCAAUGGCACAGGCUAUGGAACAGAUGGUAGCAAUGGCCCAUCUCUGCCACAAUUAUGAAUUGCUUGGAGUGCCUGGAGAUGAGGGAUGGUCCAGCUUCCCUUAGCAGUAGGAGCCUUCAUUGGAAGAGCAGGGCCUGGAACUUACUUGAUAGGGAGUGGAUUCGACACGCUGUCAAUGAAAACUCUGGUUGACUGGUUGUCUGGUUGUCCAAAGCCUGGGUUCUGCAUGGGUUGUCUGAUGGAUAGCUCUUGUUUUUCCUGUACAGUAUUGCUUCUCCCUAUUUUGCUAACAGAACCCUUAUUUCCUCUAGGAAAGCCAUUUCAUGCAACUCAGGUGAGGCUAACCCUGCCAUAGGUUUAACCUUUCAAAAUACUCAUCUUCCUGGUUCCUGUGACCGGAUAUGAUUCCUGUGGACAGAAUCCUCAAUGGACUUUUCUAGCAGAGCUCUUUUUGGCUAGGGGAAAGAGCUUAUCCAUGAGGUAAAGAGAAAUAUGGAACCAUGAAGACAUUGUUGAAACACCUGGAUCCAGCCUUACCUGAAGGGGAUUUGAAGUAGUGGGGGCCAAGGAGCCGGUGUGGCGG
rnacentral:lncRNA from 1 species